rnacentral:rRNA from 1 species
AACGCACCUUGCGCCCCUUGGUAUUCCGAGGGGCAUGCCUGUUUGAGUGUCAUUAAAUUCUCAACCUUUACUAGCUUUUUGUGAGCUAUGUAAUGGCUUGGAUGUGGGGGUUUUUUUGCUGGCUUCGAAAGAAAUCAGCUCCCCUGAAAUAUAUUAGCUGGUGCCCCCGCGUGGACCGUCUACUGGUGUGAUAAUUAUCUACGCCGUUCUGUGAAGCAUAACUAUGGGACUCGGCUUCCAAUAGUCCUUCACUGGACAAUAUCUUUGACCUUUGACCUCAAAUCAGGUAGGAUUACCCGCUGAACUUAA